AACUGAAAACAGGGUUUGGUCCUCCUUUGUUUUGUUUGUUUUACAUGUCCAUCCACUAGGGGGCACUGUGCUGCCAGAAGCGUCGGUUUUGAGGUUUAUACUCUUCUUCAUGUUAUAC